rnacentral:rRNA from 1 species
UCAAACUUAGUGGCGCACGGGUGCGUAACGCGUAUGCAACCUACCUUCAACUGGGGAAUAGCCCCUCGAAAGAGGGAUUAAUACCCCAUAGUAAUUAGAUAAGGCAUCUUAUUUAGUUUAAAGUUCCGGCGGUUGAAGAUGGGCAUGCGUGACAUUAGCUAGUUGGUGAGGUAAUGGCUCACCAAGGCUACGAUGUCUAGGGGUUCUGAGAGGAUGAUCCCCCCCACUGGUACUGAGACACGGACCAGACUCCUACGGGAGGCAGCAGUAAGGAAUAUUGGUCAAUGGACGCAAGUCUGAACCAGCUAUGCCGCGUGAAGGAUGACGGCCCUAUGGGUUGUAAACUUCUUUUGUACGGGAAUAAACCCUUCUACGUGUAGAAGGCUGAAUGUACCGUAAGAAUAAGGAUCGGCUAACUCCGUGCCAGCAGCCGCGGUAAUACGGAGGAUCCAAGCGUUAUCCGGAUUCAUUGGGUUUAAAGGGUGCGUAGGCGGAUUUGUAAGUCAGUGGUGAAAGCCUGCAGCUCAACUGCAGAACUGCCAUUGAUACUGCAAGUCUUGAGUACACUUGACGUGGGCGGAAUGUGUCAUGUAGCGGUGAAAUGCUUAGAUAUGACACAGAACACCGAUUGCGAAGGCAGCUCACGAAAUUGUAACUGACGCUGAGGCACGACAGCGUGGGGAUCAAACAGGAUUAGAUACCCUGGUAGUCCACGCCGUAAACUAUGAAUACUCGAUGUUGGCGAUAUACUGUCAGCGUCUAAGCUAAAGCAUUAAGUAUUCCACCUGGGGAGUACGGUCGCA